CGGGAUCUACCUUUUCGUGGGGGAUAACGUAGGGAAACUUACGCUAAUACCGCAUACGCCCUACGGGGGAAAGCGGCGGACCGCAAGGCGUCGCGCGAUGAGAUGAACCGAUGUCCGAUUAGCUAGUUGGCGGGGUAAAGGCCCACCAAGGCGACGAUCGGUAGCUGAUCUGAGAGGAUGAUCAGCCACACUGGAACUGAGACACGGUCCAGACUCCUACGGGAGGCAGCAGUGGGGAAUAUUGGACAAUGGGCGCAAGCCUGAUCCAGCCAUGCCGCGUGGGUGAAGAAGGCCUUCGGGUUGUAAAGCCCUUUUGUCCGGAAAGAAAAGCACGGGAUUAAUACCCUCGUGUGAUGACGGUACCGGAAGAAUAAGCACCGGCUAACUUCGUG
rnacentral:rRNA from 1 species